GAUGAAGAACGUAGCGAACUGCGAUACGUAGUGUGAAUUGCAGAAUUCAGUGAAUCAUCGAAUCUUUGAACGCACAUUGCACCUCUCGGUAUUCCGGGAGGUAUGCCUGUUCGAGCGUCAUUUGUACCCUCAAGCUCUGCUUGGUGUUGGGUGUUUGUUCCGCCUCUGUGUGUGAACUCGCCUCAAAACAAUUGGCAGCCGGCGUACUUGUUUCGGAGCGCAGCACAUUUUGCGAUCCAGAUCAACGUACAGCGGCAUCCAAGAAGCCUUAUUUAACGCUCUUGACCUCGGAUCAGGUAGGGAUACCCGCUGAACUUAAGCAUAUCAAUAAGCGGAGGA
rnacentral:misc_RNA from 1 species